rnacentral:sRNA from 1 species
AGUUUUGCCAUGGUAACACUUGUGGGGCAUUCCUUUUUGAACAGUACCCAUUCCCUUGAUGUCUACAAUAUCACCUUUCUUAUAGAUUCGCAUAUAUGUGGCCAAAGGAACAACUCCAUGUUUUCUAAAAGGCCUAGAGAACAUAUAUCGGGUGCCUCUCCUCUUUCCCUUUGUGUUCGUCAUUUUGGCGAAUUACUGGAAGAUGGCGGUUCCGGCCGAAAGGCGAUUUUCUUUUAUUCUAUUUUAAGACAGUUUCUCCCUUUUUUUAAGGUUGCUUUUUGUUUUUAUUAAUAAUUACUAUGCAUCUUUCUUCCAAAUUGAUCAGAAUUCAACCACUAGACUUUAAACUACUUCAUGUAAGGACUGUGGCUUUUUCUUUCAAUCUUUCCAUGUAUCAUUUUGUAAUCGCUUUCUUAUUUGAAUUGAGGAAGAGGAAAUGUCUUUAUCUGUUAGUGAAGGAUAAAAUGCAGGUUGAUCAAGAAGAAGAAGGGCAUCAAAAAUGUCAUGCUGAACACACUCCAGAAGAGGAAAUUGAUCAUACAGAAGCCAAAACAAAGUCAGCUGUCUCAGACAAACAAGACCGAUUAAAUCAGACACUUAAAAAAGGAAAAGUCAAAAGUAUUGAUCUACCGAUCCAGAGUAGCCUAUGUA